GCCAGGCGUGGUGGCGCAUGCCUGUAAUCCCAGCUACUCGGGAGGCUGAGGCAGGAGAAUCGCUUGAACCCGGGAGUCAGGAAUUGCAGCGAGCCAAGAACAUGCCACUGCACUCCAGCCUGGAUGACAAAGUGAGACUCUGUCUCAA
rnacentral:SRP_RNA from 1 species